UAAACGCGGGGAUGUGUUUCCACUCGAAGAGUCAGUAUUUAAAGGAGGUUGUUUUGAGGUAUUUACAGUACAUUUUAUAUGUACAAAUAACAUAGAGUCAAUUUGUAGGCAAAAUCUUAAUUUUAUACUGAUUUUAUAAAAAAUGUCAAGGUUAUGUAAAUCAAACCACGCCUUUUAAAAAUGUAAACGCUGGGAUACUCCGCCACGUCCAUAAAAGCGAAAACACUUGCGAAAGUAUAGACGUGAGUGAGAAGUGUAGAUGUUUAUAAUGCAACUUGUAAAAUGCGUCGGAGAGUGUUUUCAGCGGCGCAAGGUGGCAUCAGUAGAGCAUCACCGCACUGAAGAACACAGAAAAGGUCUUCUUAACUCAAUAAUCUCAACAGGUGUUUUAAAUGUCUCGUAAACGAGUCAUCAUCGUCGUCAUCAUCCACCUACUCCAACUUCUUCUGCACUACAAUCAGGGUUUUUUCGUUGCACUCAUGUCACAAAGAUACAGCGCAGGCAAAGCGAAAUAUACGGGCAAACUUGCGAAACAAAAAUAAUGUAAUAUAAUACUUUUUUAUGCCCAAUAAUAGAGUACAAUAAACAUCCCCCAAAUGUAUGUUGAAUUAAUUAAAAUGUUCAUGAAAGCGAUAAUGUAAAACUUAAGGUAAUGAAGGCACCAAAAUUAUAUAACAACUUAAAAUAUCUUCAAAAGGAAAUAUCUCUUUGCACGUAUAUGUUUGUUUUGUACUUUAUUAAUAAAGCACCGAAAAGGGAAAAACGGUAGCGGCGUGUGACCCAAGACGCUGAAAAAGUUGCCGCGUGCUUUAAAAGCCACAGGUGCAAGAAGUUAUUCCUUAAUGGCGGCUCGACCUGGUCCAGGUGAACGGGUGAGAUAGAACGAUACGUUGGGAUUUCUGCAGACCAGGUCAAAGUUGUCCAGCAUCAAAGUACUCUUCUGAAAAUGGAAGAAAAGAUUGGUCAUCCUGAAGACCUUCAAAACAGCUGUACUCUCUUGAGUACACAAGAAAAGCUGCUGAAGAUUAAUGAUCACGCACUUUGUGUCAGUGGGAGACGGUAGAACAACGCUGGACAACCGUGUGCUAUCAGAGGAAAACAGCUGGGCUCAACGGCAACAAGGAUGCACACAUCUGAGCGAGUCUCAGACCUCAAACCGUACAAAGCAUGUCCUGGACUCCAUGCCAGCCAAUCAGAGAGCUUCAGUCCAAUCACACUGAGCACAGUGCAGUAAACACCAAACAUUUUUAGCAUGAUGUCAGUGGAUGAAAUUUUUCUUGAUCUCUGGGACAUUUCCCAUGCAUGUCAGAGAAUAACUGCUGUUUUUACAUCCUAGUAAGGCUGCAAAGAGGCUUUUACGAUUCCCUCCACUCUCUCAUUCAUGUUUUCCCCAUUCCUCUUCUUCUUUACUAGUGUUAUUAUUUAGAAUGAUGUGACUAAUAUAUUUACUAAUGGAAAAUAGAAGAUGCAGAGCUGAAGUAAAAACUUAGAGAAGAAUGGAUAAGAUCAUCGCAGUAUCCUAGCUGGGCACUGAAGGAGUCUGACUUCAGUAUGAUAUAAUUCACCUGUUUUGUGUUGCGUUGCUUUACACAUAUAUAGUAUAAUUUGCGCGGAAAAUGUAAGUGUAACUUUUUUCUUCAAAUGUAAGAGGUUACUGUUUGGAGAAUUUGGCAUUUUUAAACCAUUUUGAUGAACCUCGAUUGAAGGCGUGCAGUCCCACAAAACAGUGGAGCCAGUGGCAACCUUAGAUGAUUAGAGGUAUGAUUGAUAAGGUCAAAGUCAAGAAGGUCAAAGUGCAUUUAGUUUUAUCCAGUAGAAGUGAAUGACCAACAAGGUAAUAUUUGUUCCAGAAUAAAAAGUUUUGACAUGUAUAGAGAAUUGACUUUUUAGAGGCUUAAACCACAUUUUAUUAUUGAUACACGUUUUUCUUUAUGUCUUUGGUUUUCUUUUGUCCAAGUGCUAUUUCCAUCAGUCAACAUUAGCCUUCUGGUGCUGUGGACUUGUGUGAGUGUUCUGCUGGUUUCAGUUCUGGUUUUGUUCAGCACACUGAGAAACCUGCUGUACCUAAUAAACUAUGAAAGAGAGUGUUGAAAAGCCCUGUCAGGGACCAGUGCUGAGUGAUAAGGAGAAGUUACAGACCUGUUCUAUCAUCCAUUAUAAUGGGAAGCAUUACAUCAUUUUCUAAUAGGUGUGACAACCUAGUGGUGGUGAGUUGACAUGGGUUGGGGGCGGGGGCACUUGUGUUUGAGUGCUGUAUUGUUCACAGACACUCACAAUAGCCUUGCAGGGCCUGGAGAAGGUUACUGUGCUGCACAGACAGAUAAUGUGGUUCAGGCAGAACUAUGGAGAACAGCAAAAAGGAAAAAGGCAGGAGGGUUGACAGUGUUUGUGAAAGACAGAUGGUGUCAUUUUUGUGAAAGAACAUCACUGCUAUCGAGGCACUGUCUUCUGUGAGAGCUCUCACAUAUUUUUGUGAUAGCAGCAUGUGUGUCCUGGGCUGUCUGCCUGUCUGUGGUUAGCAGGCUGUAAACACAGCACUAUCAGGCUUUUCUUUCUUCUUCAAAAGCUUCAAGCAUCUCUUCUCCACCAGCCCAAUAUCACCCAUGUUGCACUGAAGACAAUUCAUGAAAAUAACUAGAUGCAGACACCACACAUCUGAACACAGCUUGCUUCAUAUCCUGCUAGUGUCACCUCCAUGAUGGUCAAUGAAUUAUUGUGUCAAUCAUUUCCAAUAUGAGUCUGAAUCUUGGAAGGGUAAACAAAACAUCGACAGACGCUAGGACUGGUCUGUGUUCCUCUCCUCACGUCAUGGCACCAUUAAUAGACCUGCUGCAACUUUUUUUGCAUAUACCUGUAUUUACCUGCCAUUAACUGUGGAGUUGUCUGUCGGUGCAGUAACGUCUAGACAUCAGACAUAAACAGACUGAAUUAAAACAAUACUGCUUGAUCCUUGAUAAUGAAUGAUAAUAUAGCUAUCAUUUCUGAGGGACAGUCUGACAAAUGGAUCAAAAGUGUCUUUAAUUUUUUUUUUUUAUCUUUAGAUAACUUGUGAACACAAACAUCAC